rnacentral:rRNA from 1 species
ACGCUAUGGAGGCCCGAACCGGUUGACGUUGAAAAGUCUUCGGAUGAGCUGUGGAUAGGGGUGAAAGGCCAAUCAAACUUGGAGAUAGCUCGUACUCCCCGAAAUAUAUUUAGGUAUAGCGUCUGGUUUUGUCUGCCCGGAGGUAGAGCACUGAUUAGGCUAGGGGGCUUCACCGCCUACCAACCCUAGACAAACUCCGAAUACCGGGCCAGAGCCACCAGGCAGUCAGUCCUAGGGUGAUAACGUCCUAGGGCGAGAGGGGAACAACCCAGACCACCAGCUAAGGUCCCUAAAUGAUGGCUAAGUUGAUCAAAGAAAGUUGAGUUGCUCAGACAACUAGGAGGUUGGCUUAGAAGCAGCCAUCCCUUUAAAGAGUGCGUAAUAGCUCACUAGUCAAGCGACUCGGCGUCGAUAAUAAUCGGGCAUAAGUCAUCUGCCGAAGCUGUGGGAUAGUAAUAUCGGUAGGGGAGCAUUCCAGUCUGCGUAGAAGAAGAUCUGUGAAGAUUUUUGGAGUGGUUGGAAGCGAAACUGUAGGCAUGAGUAACGAUAAGAUGGGUGAAAAACCUAUCCACCGUAAACCCAAGGGUUCCUGAUCAACGCUAAUCGGAUCAGGGUUAGUCGAGACCUAAGGUGUACCCGGUGAGGCCGGGGAAGCUGAUGGCAAAGCGGUUAAAUAUUCCGCUACCCUAGCAAGCGCUAGGCUAAGGCGUGACGCAGAAGUGACACUCCCGCGUGCUGACGAAUGCACGUUGAAGGGUGUAGGCUAGAGAGUAGGCAAAUCCGCUCUCUGAGAAGGCUGAAACCCGACAGUACCUGGAAUCUUCGGACGAAGGGAUAGUGGAGGUAAUCAUGCUGCCAAGAAAAGCGUCGUAGUUUGUUUGUUAGGCUCGUACCCCAAACCGACACAGGUGGGUGAGGAGAGUAUCCUCAGGUGCUCGAGUGAAUCAUGGCUAAGGAACUAGGCAAAUUAGAUCCGUAACUUCGGGAGAAGGAUCCCCCUGGCAACAGGGGCGCAGUGAAAAGGCCCAAGCGACUGUUUACCAAAAACACAUGUCUCUGCUAAGCCGUAAGGCGAUGUAUAGGGACUGACACCUGCCCGGUGCCGGAAGGUUAAAGAAGGGGGUUAUCUUCGGAGAAGCUCUUGACUGUAUGGGGGCUGACACCUGCCCAGUGCCGGAAAAGUUUAAGGGAGGCUGGUUUAGCUUUUAGUGAAGCUGGCGCCUGAAGCCCCAGUGAAACGGCGGCGUAACAAUAACGGUCCUAAGGUAGCGAAAUUCCUUGUCGGGUAAGUUCCGACCUGCACGAAUGGCGUAACGAUCUCCCCGCUGUCUCAAACGUAACUAUAACGGUCCUAAGGUAGCGAAAUUCCUUGUCGGGUAAGUUCCGACCUGCACGAAUGGUGUAACGACUUGGGCACUGUCUCGGCCAUGAGCUCGGUGAAAUUGUGGUAUCGGUGAUGACGCCGAUUACCCGCAGCGGGACGAAAAGACCCCGUGAACCUUUACUACAACUUUACAUUGGCUUUAGCUGUAGCAUGUGUAGGAUAGGCGGGAGGCUAUGAAGAAGCGUCGCCAGGCGUUUUGGAGCCAC